AUCACUUGAGGUUCGAAUGGUUCCAGAAAGCAAAGGCGCUUUCAGGAUCAAAAGGGAAUGCGGAGGGAUGGACCCAAUCCGGGCAUCUUUAUCGCAGCCGACCCCGCGACUGUAGAGCGGCGAGGCAAAUGUCACCGGCCCGGAGGCCAGAGCGACGGAAAACAAUGGUGUUUUCCUUCUGUUUGAAGCCCGGACCGGAUACGCCACUGACGUGGCGGCAUGAUCAAUCGGCGCGGACGCCUCUUUGUCUACGAAUCGUCCCGUUUUCAUGACCGCGAUCAACGUUGGGAAGGUUGGCAUUUGCUGAUGUUGAUGGCAACGUCGACGCGACCCGCGAGCCAGGAGACCUGCCAUUCGCACCGGUUGAGA
rnacentral:ncRNA from 2 species